GAAAGUGUCCUUAUCUGGAUGGAGCACACUCUGUUCCACCAUCCGUUGGUUCCUGGCAGUCACUUCCUCCUCUCUGCUCCCGGGCACGGCGUGUACGCCAGGGAAGAAGGAAUGGAUACAACUUUAAUGAUGUAUUGAAAAGGCAAGCCCGAUGACAUGCCUCAUAAGGCAGGACUGGGAUGACAAGUACUAGGUCUGCAUUAUCUCCAGGUGUCUUGAGGAAUUCAGGAGCAGAGCCAGGUCCUGACCCACCAGUGGGGAAGAGGAAGAAGGAGAAACUUCAUCUGUCCAGAGGUCCCUUGGUGGGCCAGGCAUGGGACAACAGGCCUGGGCAGGCCCCGUCCCCGGGUUCCCAGCUUCGUGGGGCACUGGGCAAGAGACGAAAGAUCCAAUAUUAACAUCUGUGCUGUAAUUUUCCGUGACUGUGUCCGGGUGACAGAAAGCAUGACUACUCUUUUCUGGAUCAAAACGUCUUUCAGGCUUGAUCCUGACCUCUUUGGACAAACAUAGCUUAGGUUCAUUUGCCAGAUGAGGUAAUUGAGAAUGAAGAAGCUCAAGCCGAGGUUACUCAGCAGCAAGUGGAGGAGCCCAGAUUUGACCUCAUGUCUGCCUCGUUUCAAAAUCUUGGUCUUUCUCCCACUUCCUGCUGGCUGCAAUCUGAAGUCAGCCAUCAUGUCUCCUGAGCAGGCGAGUGCACAUUUCCCCUGGCGUGUUAUGGUGGGGCAUGGGAUUUCUGGGUCUGCAGGAACCCGUCUGCAUUUGGACACAGAGGAAAGUCACCAGCAGAAAUAUGGAUUGAGGACCAGUCGCUAGAGGAACUGGGCAUUCUGCCUUUCCUCUGGCGAUAUUCGACAUGGACCGUCCCCUUUAAAGUGACAGGCAAAAAUAUCCAGCUAAUCGAAGCAAGGAGAGCACCUUACUUUUAGCCAGCACAUCCAAAUGUUUAGGCCUGUUUUUUUUUGGUUUGUUAGUUUUAAUAAAUCCUGAAUUA